rnacentral:rRNA from 1 species
UAAUACGUAGGGGGCGAGCGUUGUCCGAAGUUACUGGGCGUAAAGCGCGCGUAGGCGGAUUUGGUAGUCGGCUGUGAAAGCCCGGGGCUCAACCCCGGAGGGUCGGCCGAUACUCCAAGCCUUGAGGUCGGUAGAGAGAAGUGGAAUGGCUGGUGUAGCGGUGAAAUGCGUAGAUAUCAGUCGGAACACCGGUGGCGAAGGCGGCUUCUUGGGCCGGACCUGACGCUGAGGCGCGAAAGCUGGGGGAGCGAACGGGAUUAGAUACCCCGGUAGUCCCAGCCGUAAACGAUGGAUACUAGGUGUCGGGGGUAUCGACCCCUCCGGUGCCGGAGCUAACGCAUUAAGUAUCCCGCCUGGGGAGUACGGCCGCAAGGUUGAAACUCAAAGGAAUUGACGG